CUGUACUGGUCAGACUGUGGGCUUGAACAACCAAUCCAGUCAUUCUCUCAGAAGGGGCAAAAAGGGAAGUUGGCAUGAGACAUAUACUGCAAGGCAAAAAUCAUAAACAAAAAUGCUGAGCUUGAAUAUAUGGGUAAAAAGUGAUCCGAGAAAGCUACAGAACUCCUGACUUCCAGAGACUGGUGAUGAUCUUGCCACCCACCUCUUAGCAGGAGAGAAGAGUCUCCCCAAUGGAAACCACUAGAUGUUUUCAAAACAACAGUGAACCAGACAGAUCAUUAAGAAUGGGAAGUUUAGAGAACCUUUAGUGGGUUCUUUAAGGGUCCAGUGGUUUUGCCCUGUUGGAACCUCACCACAAACUUAACCAAAUAUCACUUUAUCCAUUCAAAUCUUUCAGGGGUCUAAAGCACAAUGCAAACAGUUUCUACUCAUUAUUUUUUUAGGGAUUGGCUCCUAUAAAGGAUGAUGAUUACCAUAGAAUUUUAAAUCCUAACAAUUAUAACCUCUCCCACAUCCCAACCAGCAAUCAGCUAUUCCAAACCAGGAAGGAAAAAUAGUAGACUAUGCUAAGAAAACCCAUAACUGAGAAGAUGGAUCACCACCUAAGCUUCUCAAUUCUCCUACAAAGGGAAGUCAGAACCUAUUGUAGGGAGCUGUUUGGCUUGUGUAAAGCUGGUUUUGUGGACUGUGAAUUAACUGAGACUCAAGGAUCUUCUUCUGCCCAGAUUGGGUGUAGACUGGCUACUAGUCAAUUAAAACCCUUCUCCCCACCACAUGAACCCAGACUCAGAGCUCUGACCCAAAGAAAUAGCACUCAGUCAUCUAACCAGAAAAUGAAAGCUGGUGGAGGCAAGUGCACAAGUCCACUGGUAGCCAACAACCCUCUGGGUACCUCACCUUCAUCUCUAUCCAAGGCUGAUCAAAGAGGACGAAAAUCCCAUCUUCUGCUAGAUAUUGAGUCUAUUGCAUACCAAAAAAUCUGUUAAGAUUCUUCAGAACCAGAUGAGUUGGUUUCUUACCCUAGCUGGGAACAAGCCCUCAGGAAUUUUAAGGCAUGCUUCCUCCUGCUCGUCUAAGAUUGCCAGCCUUGACUACAAAAGAAAUAAUUGACUCCUGUGACUGUUGGAUAGGCCUCUGAAUGGAGACAUCACAAGGAUUGAGAAUGCCAUGAAUUAUCAGGCCUACUUUACCUCCUGGCACUUUUGACCUCAUUCACCAUGUGGUGUAGUGAAAAAGGUCCUAGAUUUGGCAGGUAACCAAGGUUUUAUUGGAAGCUCUCUUAUUUUCUACCCAAGUGACUUUAUUCAAGUUAGCGAUUCUUUCUAGGCCUCAGUUUCCUCAUCUGUCAAAUAGAAGGAAAGAAACAAGAAUCUAUUAAGUGCCUAAUAUGUGUCAGGCACUAUAUUAAGUGUUUUGAAAAUAUUAGGGGCAGCUAGGUGGCACAAUGGAUCCAGCACUGACCCUGAAGUCAGGAGGACCUGAGUUCAAAUCCAGCCUCAGCC
rnacentral:lncRNA from 1 species